rnacentral:rRNA from 1 species
GAUGAACGCUGGCGGCGUGCCUAAUACAUGCAAGUCGAGCGAACAGACGAUGAGCCUGCUCCUCUGACGUUAGCGGCGGACGGGUGAGUAACACGUGGAUAACCUACCUAUAAGACUGGGAUAACUUCGGGAAACCGGAGCUAAUACCGGAUAAUAUAUUGAACCGCAUGGUUCAAUAGUGAAAGACGGUUUUGCUGUCACUUAUAGAUGGAUCCGCGCCGCAUUAGCUAGUUGGUAAGGUAACGGCUUACCAAGGCAACGAUGCGUAGCCGACCUGAGAGGGUGAUCGGCCACACUGGAACUGAGACACGGUCCAGACUCCUACGGGAGGCAGCAGUAGGGAAUCUUCCGCAAUGGGCGAAAGCUUGACGGAGCAACGCCGCGUGAGUGAUGAAGGUCUUCGGAUCGUAAAACUCUGUUAUUAGGGAAGAACAAAUGUGUAAGUAACUAUGCACGUCUUGACGGUACCUAAUCAGAAAGCCACGGCUAACUACGUG